rnacentral:rRNA from 1 species
UAACACAGCCAUACUACCCUGAACGUGCCUGAUCUCUGAAGCUAAGCAGGGUCAGGCCUGAUUAGUACUUAGAUGAAAAAACGUCCUUACUUUCAUAUGGUCAGCUUCUCACUGUGUGCU